UUUAACGGCCGCGGUAUCAUAACCGUGCGAAGGUAGCAUAAUAAAUUGUUCUCUAAAUAGGGACUAGUAUGAAAGGCACCACGAGGGCUUAACUGUCUCCCUUUUCCAAUUAAUGAAACUGAUCUUCUCGUGAAGAAGCGAGAAUUAAAAUAUAAGACGAGAAGACCCCAUGGAGCUUUAAACUUCUCAUCAUUUACUUUUAAAUAUACCACCACAUACAGUAAAAUUGUUACCUGAGAGUUUUCGGCUGGGGUGACCCUGGAGCAAAACAAAUCCUCCAGGAUGAAUGGAGUAAAAUUCUAAUCUAAGAGCUACAGCUCUAAGAAUCAAAAUAUUGACAUAUUUGAUCCAAUUACUUGAUCAACGAACCAAGUUACCCUGGGGAUAACAGCGCAAUCCAUUUCAAGAGCCCCUAUCGACAAAUGGGUUUACGACCUCGAUGUUGGAUCGGGGUAUCCCAGUGGCGCAGCCGCUACUAAAGGUUCGUUUGUUCAACGAUUAAUAACCCC
rnacentral:rRNA from 1 species